CUAUCAUGAUUUUAAGGUAUUUCUGGUCUUCUUCAAGUGUCUCCUGGAGGCUAAAGGUGUACAUGGUAUUUUCCCAUUGCAAUGCAGCAGCGCAGCAGAAGGGGGAGCUGACACAAGCCUUCCCAGGUCUGAACCAACUUCUCUCAAGCGUGUGAAGCCUUUCUUUAUGUAGCCAGUCUCCACCCAGGGCUCAGUAGGCUUAGGGAAAUGGGAGGCGGAAGGGCACCUCACAGUGUACUCAACCCUUCUGAAUUGGAUUUUGUGAGCUGUGUAUGUCAGGUUCCGAUGUGAGGCCUGGCGCUGUGGAGGUUCCAAUGGCCGCCAUGUUGUCUCAGAGGGACACACCACAGGCUUCUGGAACUCUGGCUCCAUUUUGUGGGUGCAAGUUUCUGGCUUCCGUUUUAAAGAGCAAGAGAACCUAUCAGCGUUGUCAAUUCUAAGAAAGUGAGUGCCAAGAGCAG
rnacentral:lncRNA from 1 species